GAUUCUUACAAAUGAAGGUGUUCAGCAUAAAGUCUACGUACAUUUUAAAAAAUUCUGAUAACUCCUGUCAAAUUGUUUCACUAUCUGGUCCCAGUUUCCUUCCACUGCUUUUGUUUCCAUACCUUUACUGUCUGUUUUCACAUGUUUGUUUUUUUAGGUGAACUUUAGUAUCGUUUUGCCAAGUAUUAUCAGGCCUUGUUUUCGAAUGAGUUUAGGGAUGAAUCAGCCACCAUGCAUGCCUCGAAAAGUUCACCGUCUGGCAAGGAAUGGAGUGGAGAGAGCAGUGUAGUGGGGGAUGAUAGCUGCAAACAUUUAUUUCCAUCAAGGCCAGGGCUGGCACCAAAGGCUGGACCAUGGGCUCUGGGAACCCCCAAGAAAGAGUAGCAUUUUGGGUCUGGGGCAAUAAGGGAAGCCCCCACUGAGAAGGUGUCCUGCCUAGCCUUUGCCCUGGCUACAGAGCACUUUUAGAACACUGACUCAUUAAAUUCUCACAAUAGCCCUUUGCAUUAAGUAGUAGUAUUAUCUCCACCUUUCAGAUGAGGAAACUGAGUCCUGGAGAAUGAAGGUCUUGCCCAGCUCCAUCCUCCCAGCUCUUAAAUGCCUUUCCCUUUCUCUUUGCUGUGCUUCCCCCAUCACCUCUACCCCCAGCCUCCUGCCCCACAUCCUGUGCCAUGCUGGCUGGGCUGACAGAGCCCUGGGCUGUGGGCGCUUGCCUAUGGACUCUGCCCAGGGCUGGGUAUCCUCCUUCCAGAGGCCUUGGACCCAGACCCCACUGUCCAGGUGGACUGGGCUUUCACAGCAGGCUCGCCCCUGCAACUGCUCUGAGGCCCAGACCACACGAAGCUGCCUCAUUUCCCAACCCAGGAAUGCUAGGUCAUCCUAUCCCAUCCCUUCUCCAGCCAAACACCUCCUUCAGAAAUUAGGCCUUCAGAAGUUCUUUUGGGUUAAGCAUUUGCCACAUUCUACAUUUUUCUAAAUGCACAUCACUCUGACAGGAACCCACAGUAAUUCCCAAAAGUUCUGUGUGAAUAAAGUCAUUCUAUCUUUUCCCUCAGGUUAAGAAAGGCCUGACGCUCUCUGACAGGUCCUUGUGAAGUGGGAAGUAAGGGGAGUGGGAAUUAAACUGGCAGUUAACCCCACAUUACUAACAUCUCUGCCGCAACUCUUUCUCCCUCACCCCGGCCUCACCCAAGUACUUAGCCUGGCGUUCAAGGACCUUCACUGGGAAUUCUGGGGAAAGCCUCAUAAAGCAGAGCAGCAGGAAGCCCGGAGUGGAGGACCCAGCAGGGAGAGCCUCCUCCUUCACUGGAGGACAUGGCCAACCUCAGGUCAGACUACAGCCUGUGUCCAUCAGCCUCUCUGGUGAUGGGAACAGAUUACGUAUGCGCACACUGGAGGGAAUUACGGUAUUUCCUGACUGCGGCUCUUUGCCGGCUCUGGCUCCCCAGUGUGUCCAAAACAGGAACUGCAGUCGAGCCAAACCGGCUCCGCCCACUUCCGGCGGAGUUCCUGGAGGAGGCGCCGCUUCUGGAAGCCGGGCCGUCACGCGCGAGGUGCCCCAGGGAAGGUGUGGAGACACAGACUAUCUCCAGACAGCAGUGGCUGCAGGAGGAAGAUGAUAAAGCAGCAGUCACUUCAUUCUGCUGGUUCAAGAUCAUGGACAUCAAGGAUGGCAGCUGGGCAGCUGUGCCAGCCAACUGCUCCCUGGCACCUCUGCAUCCAUCAGGGAGGCCAGGGCUUGGAGAGUGACCAACCACCAGCUGUCUGCAGCUUCUGGGCCCAGUCGGGCGGACGGGCCGCUCGCGACCAGGCAGAACACAGAGGAGCUCCGGAGCGGCGGCAUGGAGGAGGAGCUGGCGUGGGAGACCCAGGGCCGUGAGUCCGCGGGGUGGGGGCCGGGACAGGGGCGGGUAGAGGCCCGAGAGGAUGCGCCGCAACCCAGCGGGGGCGACCGAGCCUGAGAUCUGCGCGGUCCGCGUGGCCACCUGCGUCUUGGGCUUCUUUGUGGCCCCGAGAGGAACUCGCACCUGGCGGAGGGGACAUUGGCUGCUCACCUGGGACUGGGGGUGCUCCCUGCCCUGGAGUGGGGAGCUUGGGUGGAGGAGACAUUAGCUCGAAAGAAGAUGGGAAUACGAUCCUUUAUUGGGUGCUUACUUUGUGUGCCAGCACUUUAUUUGAUCUCCACGGCAGCCUUCUGGGUAGGACCUACUGUUAUCUCCAUUUUGCAGAAGAGAAAGCUGAGGCACAAAGUGGUUAAACAAGUUGCCCAAGGUCACACAGCCUUAAAGUGGUCGAAAUGCUGAGGGCCCCAGCUCCCUUAGAAUGUCGGGGCUGGAUGGGGAGUGGAGGAGGUAUGGUGUGCUGCAGGGGGGAUCAGGGCACCUCAGAGCCCCCUCCAGGAGUGUGCCUGGCUGCUAGGGCCUCUGGGCCAGGCAGUGGCAUCCCUGUGGACAUCAGCCAGCUUCGGGGACCUUUGGCUGCACUGCCAAAGGGAGUGAAGGACUGUGCCAUUUUCCUCACUGGGAUGCAGAUGGAAGUGGGGGUUCUAUCAGGUGCUAAGCCUUUCAAACAGGUACAGGGUUCUGCUUGGGGCAGACAUCACUUGAGCAGGCCCUUAAAGAACGUGCAGCAAUGGAUCAUUGGGGUGCGCGGGAGGGAAUUCUGCGCAGAGGACCCAGCAUAGGCACAGGCUCAGAGGCCAGAGUGCAGUGUGUGUCUGUUGUGUCCAGAAAGAGGAUGCAUGGAUUGAGAUGCAUGGAAGAGAUGAGACUGAAGUUGAUUUCACUGGCGCUCUCCAGGGCCUCCAUGCUCUCCUUCAGGCUCUUGGCUGUUUGCCAGCACAAACCAGGCCACUCUCCCAGGCUUCCGUCAAGAGAAAGGGAGUCAGAGCUGGUAGGAAUCUCUACAGAUCACUUUUUCACCCUCCCCUGAUUCUACAGUGGAACCGAGGCCCCCAAGGGGGAUGUUUCCUGCUGUUAGAAAGUGGCAGUGCGGGAACUAAACCCCAGCUUCCCUAAGCUUACGCCUGAACUGCCAGAUCUUUUGCUGAACCUGGAUCAUAGUGGUUUUCGUCCAAGAGUUUAAGGAAAGGAAUGCUCAGGACACAGUUGCUUCCCGGAGGUGUUUGAGAUCUGAGUGAGAUUCUUCCAGAAGGACCCUCUCUUCCCCUAUGGGAAAGGCAGACCCUUUUAGGGGUGAGGAAGGGUGGCACCAUCAAUGGGGACCACACUUGGAAGGAGAUGUUUCCCCCUUUCCCCUGAAGUAUUGACAUGAAGCUCCCCCUGUCCCCAUACACCUCUUUCCUGCCAUUUACCUGAGCUUGUGGUUUGGUUUUCCAGGGAACAAAUGAGUCUCAACUGGGGCCACAUCUUAUAUAGUUCAAAAGCCCUGAAGAGACUUAAUGACUUGUGUGUCACUUAUUCAUUCAGCAAAUAUAUGCCAGGGCCUGAAUUUAGGGAUAUAUUAGUUAACAGGUCAGACAAAAAUCUCUCCCUUCAUGGGCUUAUAUUAUAAUGGGGGAAGCAGACAAUAAAGCUAAUAAAUAUGUAAAUAUAGCAUAGGCCAGUGGUGAGGGGUGGUGUGGAGAAAAGCAGGGCAGGGAGGUGGGUAGGGAGGGUGUUUCCUUGGUUGGGGCUUCACUGGCUCAGAGAGCCCUGAAAGAAGGAAGCCCCACCCCCCCCCAGGUCUUUGGCCGCCAGAAUUUAUUCUCUGACCCUUUGUUUUGGAGGAAUAAUAGUGAUGAUGACGAUGGUACUAUUUGCCAGAUACCAUGCUAGGAGCUUUUCACAUACUUAUAUCCGAUCAUUACAAUAACCCUGCAGGGCAGCUCAUGUCCCCAUUUUGCAGAUGAGGAAACUGAGGCACAGAAAAAUUAAGUAACCUAAGUCACACAGCCAGGAAAUGGCUCAGCCACAGGGCAGCAGCUCUGAGGUCCAUAGGUUGCAUCUGUGAGGCCUCAGAAAGCCCCAAACCCUCUCCUGUAUUUGGAAAGCCACGUGGAAUUUAUCUGGAAAAAACAAAUUGAUGGCAGGCUUCUCUGUCACUUUAAUGCAUCCCAGCCUUCCCUGCCAAGACACUGGCGACCUGUCCCUGGAUACACAGAGGGGCUGGGUCUGUACAUUUGCAGUGGACCAAAUGUGCAGGAUGUAGGCUCAGCAGCAAUAAAACCUCAAAUUACAUGCCCUGUACUGAUUGUGCAAAGGGCCAGCCAAUAUUGGGUUGGCCAAAGAGUUCAUUCGAGUUUUUCUGUAAGAUGUUACGGGAAAACCCAAACGAACUUUUUGGCCAGCCCAAUAUUUGUCCCUUGUGCUUGUGUAUCUAAGCCUUUCUGAAGUGGGGACAGGCAUCUGUCAGCUUGGGGAUUUUCAGUGUCACUCAUGGAAGCAGAGUUUUGUGGAUUCCUUCAUGUGCUCAGCUUUGGGCCCACUGUGAAGUGUGAGUGGGCUGGCAAGUGUCAGGUGUGGCCAGAGCCCCCAAGGAGCUUGAGGUCCAGCCGAAGAGACCGGACAUCCUUAUAAGCCAAGAGCAGUCAGGAUGACGGCAGCAUGGGGUUCUGGUGAGAUGAGCCCUGGACCACGUCGUCAGGCCUGAGUCCCCCUGGCCUGGCCACCAACCCUCUGAGCCCACCGCUGGCCAUGGCAAGGGGCUGGAAGGGGGGCUUGGAGGUUCCUUCUAGUCUGAGACUGAGAUGAAGGUGCAGCGACAAGGAUGAGAGGAGUGCAGAGACCACAGAGAAGGCAAUCAGAGAGGGCCCCACAACCAGGAGGCGAAAGCUGGUUAGGAUUAGGGGAUGAGGAGAGAAAAGGUGGAGGGACGAGGACAAAGAAGCCGAGUGAACACGCGCCUCUGGCCUCGCCCGGGCCUGACGCAGUGGGUGGCUCAGUAAAUCCUGGCUGCCUUCUUCACUGAUGGAGCCAUGGGAAAGGUCGUUAUCGACUCCAGUGGGAAUGAAUUGCAUUCCUUUCCUCAAGAACAGCAAUAGCAGUCAGGACAACUGGAUGACAGGGCACCUCUGAGAGGGGAGGGGCACACACCUGGCUCCUGUGGAUGGUCUUGCCCACGGUCUCCCAGCUUUAGGGUUCUGCCGAGUCCUGGUCACGUGGACAUGAGGUGCGCUGGAAGGAGAAGCAGCCUGUCUGGGGAAAUCUCCAACAUUAAGAAAGAGGAGAAGCAUCCACCCACCAUUCUGAGCUGGAAGACCCCCUGCCUAGGAGACAUUCAAGCCAGGGAGGGGCUGUUCCCCGAUCCUCCUUAUACAGUGUCGGGGGUCCUCCGCCCUCAUCCUGCACCCCUUUUUGUCCCAACAGUGCUUCCUCUGGAGAGGCAGCUCCAUGAGGCUGCCCGCCGGAACCACGUUGGGAGGAUGAAGGAGCCGAUCGGGAGGAGAGUACACAUCAGGGCCAGAAAUCACGUGUGUAAAGGGGCUCCGGCUGGGAAUAAUGCUAUAGUGUCACCUCCACACAGGAGGGACAGUUCCCGGAGCCUGGGGCAGGCACAUCGGCACGUGUUAACUUGGGGGAGGCUCAGGCCCUGGCCUCCUUGUCCACUUUGCCUCAAAAUCUCUGAGGCCCAAAGUCAGGGUCAGGAUUCCAGUGCUCUUAACUCUUAUUCCUUGUGACCCAUCCAGAAGGCUCCUCCAAGAAACAGAUUUAGAGUCAGGAGGGCAGGGGCUCAAAGGUCAGGAGUCGGAGGCUGGCAGAUAGGGACAGGCACCUGGAGAGACAAAGGUGGCCUGGUGCCUCUGGUCAGAAGUCCAGGGGUUCUGGACCAAGGGAGGCUGAUGUGUCAGUUGCAAUGUUUUUUUUUUUUUUUACAGUGUUUUGUUUUAAAAUCUUUAUUGAAUUUGUUACAAUAUGGCUUCUGUUUUAUGCUUUGGUUUUUUGGCCACAAGGCAUGUGAGAUCUUAACUCCCCGACCAGGGAUCCAACCUGCACCCCCUGCACUGGAAGGCGAAGUCUUAACCACUGGACCGCCAGGUCCCUGAGGCAUCCUCCCAACGUGGUUCCGGCGGGCAGCCUCAUGGAGCUGCCUCUCCAGAGGAAGCACUGU